CCAUGAAAUAAGAUAUAAGGAGACUCCACUCCGUAAAUGGAGAAUAAGUCAAGUUUACGUCGAAGUUUAAGUUCCAAUUUUUGCCACUUGUAGCGCUUGUGAACUGUUUAGUGUAGAGUUCCUAUAAGUAGAGUUGUGCCAAUCAUGAUUGCUUCUGUGAUUGGUUACGCCAUUUUGUUCCCAUGUUUCCGUUUCAAUACGUCAUCACAGUUCAGUUUGUUGAUAACUUUGUGUCGGACUGGUUGCAAUUUGACCAAUUUAUUUUUAUAAGCAACGAAGGAAAUGCCGAGUUGUGCAGCGCCAGGAUGUCGCAGUCAUUCAAGACAUGGCACAAAAAUGCACCGUUUUCCAAAGAAUCCACAACGACGAGAAGUGUGGACAAAAAAUAUUGAACUAAAGUUACCAAUAAAAGAUGUACCAUUUUCCAGCAAACAUGUGGGAAAAGGAGCGUGUUGAUGGAAAGAAGAAAUUGAAAGUGCACGCUAUACCAAUAAUAUUUGGACAUGCUAUCAUGCAAAUGCAAAAUAAUAGAGCUUCAGAGCAUAGAUCUAAUGCGAGGUCUACACAGCACUCACCGAUAUUAGUAUAUACAGAUCCAUCAAGUAAAGACGUUGUGAUAUUAUCUCAAUGUGAUGAAACCAGACAUUACGAGAGUACAGAGCCUAUGCAGGAAUCUUUAUUGGCACACUUAGCACCAUCAAAUGAAAAUGAAAUUAACAAUGUACAACAGGAAAAUAAGGAAGUGGAUGCACAGCACCAAGAGACAUGUACUAAUAUUCAUGCUUCCAGUAAGCAGACUUUUUUAUCGGAAGAUGUACCUCUGGAGGAAAAUGAAUGCGAUAUCAUUAGCAACGAUGAAAGUGUACAUAAACAGGAAGUCGAAUUAUUAACUGCACAGAAGAAAUUCGCAACAUCUGCAAUUGUGGUAUGGCAGAGAAGUACAAAAAACUUGAGAAACUAUAUUUAAAAAGUGAAAGAUCGAGGGUUUUAAUGAAAAAAAAUCACAACCGAUUGCAAGUCAUUAUGAAGAGGAAAAUUAUGAAACUGAAAAAAAUUGUGUUGCUCAAAGGUGGAAACAAACCGUGGCAUAUUUUUAUUCCGGUAAUAGUACAAACGGAUCGAUUUAUAAGUCAAUAAUUUUAAAUAUUAUUGAGGAAGCUAACAAAAUAGGAUUGCGUGUCCAGAGUAUCGUAUCCGAUAUGAGUGCUCCGAACCAGGCAAUGUGGAAAUCGUUUAACAUUAAUGUUUCUCGAUAUUCGACGGUACAAAAUAAAUAAAAAUCAUUUAUUCAUGAAUCUAUACCAGCCAGUUUGAAAUUACCCGAGCUCAAUUAUGCAGAGUACACAUACGAAAGGAUCAAAA